GAUGAACGCUGGCGGCGUGCCUAAUACAUGCAAGUCGAGCGAACAGACGAGGAGCUUGCUCCUCUGACGUUAGCGGCGGACGGGUGAGUAACACGUGGAUAACCUACCUAUAAGACUGGGAUAACUUCGGGAAACCGGCGCUAAUACCGGAUAAUAUUUUGACCCGCAUGGUUCAAUAGUGAAAGACGGUUUUGCUGUCACUUAUAGAUGGUUCCGCGCCGCAUUAGCUGGUUGGUAAGGUAACGGCUUACCAAGGCAACGAUGCGUAGCCGACCUGAGAGGGUGAUCGGCCACACUGGAACUGAGACACGGUCCAGACUACUACGGGAGGCAGCAGUAGGGAAUCUUCCGCAAUGGGCGAAAGCCUGACGGAGCAACGCCGCGUGAGUGAUGAAGGUCUUCGGAUCGUAAAACUCUGUUAUUAGGGAAGAACAAAUGUGUAAGUAACUAUGCACGUCUUGACGGUACCUAAUCAGAAAGCCACGGCUAACUACGUG
rnacentral:rRNA from 1 species